GCGAGGAGGAAGAGGAGGGCGCCUCACCUCGCGUCUUGGCCCAUGCUCUCCAUCUUCACUUCCACUCCCUUCCUACAAAUGCACCGCGUUCACCAUGCGCCCGGAUAAUAGCCUUCGGGACACGACGUUAAGCGAAGUCAAGAUGUUGGAGGCGAACUGCACAAACGGCUGGAAAGAAGAAAACAAAAUCGCCUGACGUUGUGUGGGCUGAACUCCUGAACUAGGCGCCCGACUGGGGUCCUCGGAUUAUAUUUUCGCUAUAAAACGUGCGAAAUAUUAAAGGCAGUUCGUAUUCUACCCAGUUAUUUGGCAGAAUUAAAACAAAAGCACUUAUUCUCUCACUGGUUUUCCAUAUCGAAUGGUAUUGCGAAUUUUACCUUUGACCUUCAAUGAAAAGAAAUAUUGACAUGGAAGCGGACUCCAGGGUAUUUCAUUUCCCUGUUGUGGUGGGAACGCGGAAACACGGCCGUUAUUGGACAUUCCAGUCUCCGCAUGCACUUUUUGAAACACUGCAUUGCUUUUUGGACGAUAUGUAAUUAAAAUGCUGGAGAUUUGCCAUUGCUAGUGUAAUAAAUGUUAAUUUCGUUAAUAUGGCCAAAUGCAGUUGGAAAGUCAAUCCCAGGCUUUACAAUCAAGAUUUGUAAUUAUUGGGUUUACUGGCCUGACAUGAUCCGGAAAUACAAGAAUUUUGUAUUUUGACCAAGAGCUGACUCUCCUGGAGUAAUUUCAGUCAUGAAUUAUACACAACCCAGCUGAGGUAUCCCGGUAGAUUGUUGUAAAGGCGGUAAUAUCAAAAUACCAAAGAUUCAGAAUACUGUAGGUAUUUGAUUACUGCGGCUUAAAUGUUGUGAGGGCUGUUCAUUUUACAAGGGAAAAAUACACAUAUUCACCAUUCAAGCAAAAAUAUAUUUGUGUAAUUGAGGCCCAUUAACUGUUGGUUAUUUUAUUAGCGAGUGAUGGAACUGGACCUUUGAUCGGGAGAGGUUUGAAGGAAUUGGCGAUUCAUGUCUUAUCAGAGGAACUAAACCAUGCACUUAACUGACUGUAGGCGCUAAUAAUUAGUGAUUGAAAGUUUCUGUAUUUAGCGUGCUUUAUGUUUCUUGGGGGUUUUGUUACAGGUUAUAUUAUUAGGUUUGCGAGAACAGUAGUUAACUAAACUUCCCAGUUAGUGGUCUUCGCACCAGGAAAGUGCUAUUUGGUACAGCAGCCAUGCCUCGUCACUCAUUAACUCCCUGUAGGUUGUCAGCGGCUGCUCAGCACAAAAAAAACAGCACCAAGCUAAAUUAAGAGCCCGAUGAUUAAGAUGAACGUUUACCGGUGCUGUCAUUUGCAGCAUCUUUCCAUCAUAACAUUGUGUCACUGGGAAAUACUCUUGAAAACUGCAGGGAAAUACACACACACACACACACACACACACACACACACACACACACACAAUGACAAAAUCUUUGAUUCGCAUCUCCAACCCCCACCCCCAUACCCUGCGCAAGCACAUAGCAACUGUUAACACGAUCCAAAAUCGCGGAAACGUGUUCGAAUAUAAAAUUAAAAUCGAGACAACGUUUCAGCAAUUUUGGUUCAACAAAGGACUCGGCAUUGGUUUCAAUAUCAGCGAAAUGCAACAAAUGUCUGAAACAUUGUCUACAUGGCAACAUUGAGAUCCAUAAAAUGUCAAUGUUUCUUUAUUUACAGGCAGUGAUGUCACGUUCCGAGGUGCACAGGCCGAAAUCGCACCACUACAUCUAGUCGGUGACAAACGAUCGCUGUGAGCCACCGAAUUUACUUCGUAUAGAAAUUGCAUCUCUAAUUCCCAAUAAACGCGCCUCAGCAGAUUGAAUCAUUUAUUGUGGGGGUGUUGAAUAACUCCUAGUCGGAGCUUGUUACUCAGUAUAAUAUAUCACGCAUUUGCACUGCAGAAGGCCUUUGCACUGAAAAAAAUAUGUGAAUGAUAAAAUAGAAAAACUUACUGCAAUGUGCUGAAUCUGGCGGAGUCAAACAAAUAAUAUGGUUCUGACUCGGAAAAUAAGUAACCUAGGUGAAUAAUAGUCAUUAGGAGGGAGAUAUUUUUUCUAAGAUUACACGGAAGGAUCAAAUAUCAAAAUGAUUUACGACUAAUACUGCUAAAGGUUUUGAAAUUUGCAACCGAUUACGAAUAUAUUGCAAGAAUUACAUUUUUUAAAACAUUCCAAUUAUCAGUUAAAUGUUAAGUGUUUCGAAUAAUCUGGAAAUACGGGAAAAAAUCUGGCAAAGAAGACGCAUUUACUACCUUUUAUAUAUAUGGCAUUUAGGAAACUCUAGGAUUCCAACAAUGCUGCCAUACAUUAUGGCAAUAAUAUGGUGGUAUUUGAUCACCUGAACAUACUCAAAUUGAUUUCCACCGUUUGUCUGCACCCGUUUCAUAAUAAGGAGAAGUCUUAGAUUUCCAAUUUUUCGUUAUCAUGUCAUUUUAAUAUGAUAAGACAAUGGCUGCGAAGACAAAUCAGUGUUAAAUUUGGCCCAAACUAUAAUUAAUAAUAUUAUUCGACUCGUGCGUUUAGGUUGGUCUCAGAGUUAAAUUGAUUCGCUAUAUUGUGUAUUGUUUUUCCUAAUCCAACGUGAAAUAUAAAAGACUAACGAGAUUUCUGUUUUUAUCUUUUAGUAGGAAGUACAAAUCUAUGUAUAAAUUGAUCCAUGUUACGAAGUACUCAAAUAAAGUUAUUAUGU